CUCGUAGGCGGUUUGUUGCGUCGGAAGUGAAAUCUUACAGCUUAACUGUGAACUUGCUUUCGAUACGGGCAGACUUGAGGCAUUCAGGGGAGAACGGAAUUCCUGGUGUAGCGGUGAAAUGCGCAGAUAUCAGGAGGAACACCGGUGGCGAAGGCGGUUCUCUGGGAAUGUACUGACGCUGAGGAGCGAAAGUGUGGGGAGCGAACA
rnacentral:rRNA from 1 species